rnacentral:rRNA from 1 species
GACGAACGCUGGCGGCGUGCCUAAUACAUGCAAGUCGAGCGGACGUUGUUGGAGCUUGCUCCAACAACGUUAGCGGCGGACGGGUGAGUAACACGUGGGCAACCUGCCUUAACGACUGGGAUAACUCCGGGAAACCGGGGCUAAUACCGGAUAACAUCUAGCACCUCCUGGUGCAAGAUUAAAAGAGGGCCUCUGGCUCUCACGUUAAGAUGGGCCCGCGGCGCAUUAGCUAGUGGGAGAGGUAAUGGCUCCCCAAGGCGACGAUGCGUAGCCGACCUGAGAGGGUGAUCGGCCACACUGGGACUGAGACACGGCCCAGACUCCUACGGGAGGCAGCAGUAGGGAAUCUUCCGCAAUGGACGAAAGUCUGACGGAGCAACGCCGCGUGAGUGAAGAAGGGUUUCGGCUCGUAAAGCUCUGUUAUGAGGGAAGAACACGUACCGUUCGAAUAGGGCGGUACCUUGACGGUACCUCAUCAGAAAGCCACGGCUAACUACGUGCCAGCCGCCGCAGUAA